GCGGCAGCAGUGACAGCGGUAGCAGAGGCAGAGGCAGCGGCAGCUUGGCCCUCUGACUCUCUUCGGUGACGGGUAUUCUUGGGUGGAUAAUACGGAUUACGUUGUUAUUGCUUAAGAAUACGCGUAGUCGAGGAGAGUACCAGCGGCAGGCGGGCAGCGGCCGCCCCUCCCAGCCCACCAGCUGGCCACUAAAAGCUCCCGGUUGCCAAGAAGUGUGAGCGAGUAAUUUUGCUGGAUGUCCACGUAUUUCAGUUGAGCCAUUUGAAGACAUUAGCAGUGGGGUUAUUGAAGCCCUCCCUUGCUCUAGGACAAUGCAAGCCUGCUUCUGUGUUCACCACAGGUAUGUUUUCAUGAGUUCUUCCCUAACAGACUGCCCAGAUAAACUACAUCACAGAAUUGCUUCUCUUUAUUUAGUCUAUGGUCAUGGUGAAUAGUACCUAUCUGUAUUUUCAUUAUUUUAACAAAAAUUAAAAUUCUCAGCCUAUCCUAUGUUAUGUAAAGCAAGUAUCCACACCCAAUUGUUUCUUCUUCUAUGAAAAAACAAAAAAACAGAAAACAAAACAAAAAACCCAAAAACUUGUCACUUCUUUCAGAAAAUCUAUUUCCAGUAGAUUAGAGUUUGCCUCACCCUCAUCAAAUAUACUUUUUUCCAGAUUAUUAAGUUUUUAAAACAUUUAUUUUUUUACAUCCCAAUUCUGUCCCCCC
rnacentral:lncRNA from 1 species